rnacentral:misc_RNA from 1 species
GAUGAAGAACGUAGCGAAAUGCGAUACUUGGUGUGAAUUGCAGAAUCCCGUGAACCAUCGAGUCUUUGAACGCAAGUUGCGCCCGAAGCCAUUAGGCCGAGGGCACGCCUGCCUGGGUGUCACACAUCGUUACCCCAACGCAAACAUGUAACAAUGUUGCUGCGCGGGGUGUAUGCUGACCUCCCGCGAGCACCCGCCUCGUGGUUGGUUGAAAUCUGGGUUCAUGGCCGACUUCGCCGUGAUAAAAUGGUGGAUGAGCCACGCUCGAGACCAAUCACGUGCGAGCCGGUCAGUUCUGGACCCAUCGACGACCCUUUGCGUGCACGCACGCUCCCAACGAGACCUCAGGUCAGGCGGGGCUACCCGCUGAGUUUAAGCAUAUCAAUAAGCGGAGGA